rnacentral:piRNA from 1 species
UGACCCUCUUCUGUCUCAGCAUCCUGUC